rnacentral:rRNA from 1 species
UACGUAGGAGGCAAGCGUUAUCCGGAUUUACUGGGCGUAAAGCGCAAGCAGGUGGCUAUCUAAGUCUGACGUGAAAGCUCUUGGCUUAACUGGGAAAGUUCGUUGGAAACUAGACGGCUUGAGGCAAUGAGAGGUGUGUAGAAUUCCCGGUGUAGUGGUGGAAUGCGUAGAUAUUGGGGGGAAUACCAGUGGCGAAAGCGGCUCCCUGGCAUUAGCCUGACACUCAGGUGCGAAAGCGUGGGUAGCAAACCUG